GAUGAACGCUGGCGGCGUGCCUAAUACAUGCAAGUCGAGCGAACAGACGAGGAGCUUGCUCCUCUGACGUUAGCGGCGGACGGGUGAGUAACACGUGGAUAACCUACCUAUAAGACUGGGAUAACUUCGGGAAACCGGAGCUAAUACCGGAUAAUAUAUUGAACCGCAUGGUUCAAUAGUGAAAGACGGUUUUGCUGUCACUUAUAGAUGGAUCCGCGCCGCAUUAGCUAGUUGGUAAGGUAACGGCUUACCAAGGCAACGAUGCGUAGCCGACCUGAGAGGGUGAUCGGCCACACUGGAACUGAGACACGGUCCAGACUCCUACGGGAGGCAGCAGUAGGGAAUCUUCCGCAAUGGGCGAAAGCCUGACGGAGCAACGCCGCGUGAGUGAUGAAGGUCUUCGGAUCGUAAAACUCUGUUAUUAGGGAAGAACAAAUGUGUAAGUAACUAUGCACGUCAUGACGGUACCUAAUCAGAAAGCCACGGCUAACUACGUG
rnacentral:rRNA from 1 species